AUUGAACGCUGGCGGCAGGCCUAACACAUGCAAGUCGAGCGGAGCGGCGAACGGGGGAGUAAUGCCUAGGAAUCUACCUGGGAGUGGGGGAUACCGUCCGGGAACGGGCGCUAAUACAGCAUACUAUCAGAUGAGCCUAGGUCGGAUUAGCUAGUUGGUGGGGUAAAGGCCUACCAAGGCGACGAUCCGUAACUGGUCUGAGAGGAUGAUCAGGCACACUGGGACUGAGACACGGUCCAGACUCCUACGGGAGGCAGCAGUGGGGAAUAUUCGGCAAUGGGCGAAAGCCUGAUCCAGCCAUGCCGCGUGUGUGAAGAAGGUUUUCGGAUUGUAAAGCACUUUAAGUUGGGAGGCGUUACCAAAAGAAUAAGCACCGGCUAACUUCGUGCCAGCAGCCGCGGUAAUAC
rnacentral:rRNA from 1 species